GGGCAGUAGUGAGUUGGGUAUAGAGAGAACACAGUGUUAGCACCUGUGAUGUUCAAUAAGACAAACACAGCCCUGAUACAGUGUUAAUUUACACAUUAUAAUCUUUAACAUUUAUUGAACUGUUCAGACAAAUUGAUUUGCUACAUGAACACAAAACAAAUGGCUGACAUGUUGGGUAUGGACUAGAGAGGAGAGUCUGGGUUGGAGUCAGGACUGACCUGUUAGGUAUGGAGAGGAGAGUCUGGGUUGGAGUCAGGACUGACCUGUUAGGUAUGGAGAGGAGAGUCUGGGUUGGAGUCAGGACUGACCUGUUAGGUAUGGAGAGGAGAGUCUGGGUUGGAGUCAGGACUGACCUGUUAGGUAUGGAGAGGAGAGUCUGGGUUGUAGUCAGGACUGACCUGUUAGGUAUGGAGAGGAGAGUCUGGGUUGGAGUCAGGACUGACCUGUUAGGUAUGGAGAGUAGAGUCUGGGUUGGAGUCAGGGACGGAGGGUCAGUGAGUCUGGUCUCUAAACUGAGAGAGGAGAGAAUGAAGAAGGGUUGUUAUGGUGUCGCUGACCCUGCUCAGUCCUGAUUCAUUUAGGAUUUUAGACAAAUCUGACAGAUUUGAUCAAAUCUCCGGACACAUUUUAUCGGAAUCACAGUUUUGAGAUAAAUAUUAUUUAAAGUCAGAGAGGGCUAUUGCAAGAAAAUACAUUAAAUCCUUUUUCAGUUUUU
rnacentral:lncRNA from 1 species